AUACAUGUUAACACAAGUUGACACGAGGAAUUUCCCAUGUGGCUUGUUUUCCAAAGUACUGAGAACAAAACCCUGAGCUUCCCCCUAGGCCUGGUAACUCAGCAAGUCUUGUGAAUGGAAAUAUAGUGCCCAGUCACAUUCUGCUGUAAAAGGUAAAUAAAGAUGUAAUAAAAAAAUAAAUAAAAGAGCAGCUUUUGUCUGCACAGACUCCGAGGGCCUCCCCACCCUGUCUCUACAGUUUCCUUCAGGGCAGAGUCCCUGUCUUGUUGUUUUUUACCUUUGCCAUUUACCAAAGUCCCCAAGACUUAGUAGGUUCUUAGUAAUUACAGUUAGCUUAUCAAUGGGUGACAGAAAUGCUGGUUUUCUUGAAGGCAGCUAGCUCAUGGUGUAACUAGAGAUAGACAGAUACCAGAGCACCCUGUUUCCCAUUCUGUUUCUACUACACAUGAACAUGGCCAAAGCUCGGUCUACUUAUUAGUUACUGAUACUGUUGACUUUGUAAUUGGAGUGAAGGUUUUUAAACUUUAAAACUCUUGAACUCUUUCCUUAGAAUACUUUAAGAGAUGUAACAUGGAAGUAAGUAACGUUAUGUUCUUUUCAGCCUUUAUAAGACAGCAUUUGGUCAUGGGUAAGACUACUGGAUUUUUUUAAAGCAAAUUAAAAUCUAUAUUACACAGAGGUGUCCUGUUUCUUAUAGCUAGUAACACUGUUAAAUACAUUUUGAAUAUUUCCAGUUUCACUUAUUACUAUGCUUUGGCCACUUAUAUCCAAGUAAUUACCUUCCCUUUUUAAAAAUACUUUUUAACAUUAUUGUCUAUGAUAAGUUCAUAUGAAUAUUAUAUGUUCAAUGUAAUCUACAGUGGUAAAUAACACAAUCUUCACCAAACUUCAUUCUUUCACAGAAAUAACUCUAGGGAUAACCCUGUUUCCUUUCCUCUGAUAUCCUUAGUGAAUACUCAGGCAUAUACAUACUUGGCUGUUGUCACAAAUGGCAUUUGAAUGAGCUCUUGUUCUUCCUGCUGUAUUAUCUCUAUUCCUGAAUGGUGUGAGCAGCUCUAUGUAUUGACACAUGUAUAUCUGUCUCUUAGGUCUCUCUCUCUCUCUCUCUCUCUCUCUCUCUCUCUCUUUCUCUCUCUGGGUGUGUGUAUGUGUGUGUCUGUGGGUGUGUGUAUACACAGUCACAAGUACAUGUGUUCAAAGCUGCAUAUAUGUGCAGGGGCAUGUUGGGGGAGCAUUCAUGUGUAUAGAUGUGGGUGCUGUAGGACAACCCUAGCUAGUGUCCUUAGCUGCUGGCCACUUUGAUUUUCUUCACUUUGUUUUGAGUCAGUUUUCUCUCAUUUACCUAGCCAGGAUCGAGCUCCUGUCUUUAUGUUUGCAAGGCAAGCACUUUUUCAGCUGAGCUAUCACCUUAGUCCUACCUCAGGGUUUCUUUUCUUGAUGUUGUUUUGUUUAUUUGUUAUUUGUCUCCCAAUGUAGCCCUGACUAGCCUGGAACUCACUGUAUAAACCAGGCUGGCCUCAAACUGCUUGUUGUUUUUAAUGUUUUUACUUUCAAUGAUUUAUUUACUAAGUCUCUUUUAAAUGUACACUUGACAUCUUGGAAGGCUUUUUUAUUUCUUUAAUUUUUUAAAAAUUUACGUGUAUAAAAUGCAGAAUUUAUUGUUUUAACCAUCUGAAGUGUAAAAUCUAGUAAUGAGUGGGAGAGGGAGGAAGGAAACUGCAGUUGGAAUCUUUUAAGAAUUAUGUGUAUAAAAUGCAGAAUUUAUAAUUUGAACCAUCUGAAGUGUAAAAUUAAGUAAUGAGUGGUGAUGGGAAGAGGGUCACAGAAAACUGCAGUUGGGAUGUGAUAUCUGAGAGGAAAAUAAACAAAAAGGAAAAAGUCUAUUUCAUUAUUAGUGACGACUUAUUUUGUAUGCCAGGCUAAGCUGGAACUCACUGUAAUUCAGGCUGACCUUGACUCAUAGCAAUCAUAAUGUUUUUGCCUCAAAAAUGCUGCUAUUACAAGGAUGUGUGAGCAUUUUCUGUAGUCUAUUGUAGAACAUGCCACAUUUGUUUACACACUGAGUUGCUAAUUAUAAUCCCUUACCUUAUAAUUUCCUGUUCAGAUUACAGAGUAUUUCCCAAAGGAAUCUCAUCUUGGUCAUAUUAAUUUAGGAAAGGAGUUCCACAGACUAUCUCAGAAGUAAAAAAGGGCCUGGGGUAUUUAUUUUGAUUUCAAAAUGAAGGAAUAACUGAUGUCAAAGAGCACCCUGUGUUGUCAGGAUAUAGAAAAGGGCUUCUUCGAUUUUACAAUUUUCAUCAGAUUGCCCCAAAUAUCUCAAAAUAAAUAAUGGUAGGAGUAAAACCUCGUGAAACACGCAGCCAUGAGGGAGGUCUUUAUUUGAGAGGGAUGUAUGUUUGGUUUAUUUGUUCAUUUGAGGAUAAAGGAGAAAAAGAAGAAAAAAGGUGAAGACAAAAGAGUAAUGGAAAGCAAAAGAGAUGGAAAUAGGGAAGAAGAGCAAAUAAAACAAAGAUC
rnacentral:lncRNA from 1 species